rnacentral:lncRNA from 1 species
GCUAGCAUUUUGCUUGUUGUAUUUGUCACUGCAACUAGUGAUUAUAAACAAUCCCUGCAGUUCAAGGAUUUGGAGAAGGAGAAGAAAAAAAUUACAGUUCAGGUUACUAGAGAUGGAUUCAGACAGAAGUUGUCCAUUUACGAUCUACUUCCUGGCGACCUUGUUCAUCUUUCUAUUGGAGAUCUGGUCCCAGCUGAUGGACUUUUUGUUUCGGGGUUUUCUGUGCUGAUAAAUGAAUCCAGUUUAACAGGAGAAAGUGAACCAGUUAAUGUCAACUCUACGAAUCCUUUUCUCCUCUCUGGAACUAAAGUUCAGGAUGGAUCAUGCAAGAUGCUUGUAACUACCGUUGGAAUGAGAACCCAGUGGGGUAAACUGAUGGCUACUCUUAGUGAAGGAGGAGAUGAUGAAACCCCCUUGCAGGUCAAACUAAAUGGUGUGGCAACCAUCAUUGGGAAAAUAGGCCUGUUUUUUGCUGUUGUUACAUUUUCUGUAUUGGUUCAAGGAUUGUUCAGCCGCAAGCUUCAACAAGGAUCACACUUGAUCUGGUCUGGAGACGAAGCAUUGGAAAUCUUGGAAUAUUUUGCUAUAGCUGUUACAAUUGUUGUUGUUGCUGUUCCAGAGGGUUUGCCUUUGGCUGUGACAUUGAGUCUUGCUUUUGCCAUGAAGAAGAUGAUGAAUGAUAAGGCACUAGUCAGGCAUCUGGCUGCUUGUGAGACAAUGGGAUCAGCCACAACUAUCUGCAGUGACAAGACUGGGACACUAACGACGAACCACAUGACUGUUGUGAAAGCUUGCAUUUGUGGUAAAAUCAGAGAUGUGGGAACCUCCGAGGAAGCUACUAACUUGGCUUCUAUAGUUCCUGAAUCUGGUUUGAGGCUUAUACUGCAAUCUAUUUUUAACAACACUGGAGGAGAAGUUGUUAAAAACAAAGAUGGCAAGACUGAGUUACUUGGAACACCCACUGAGACUGCUAUUUUGGAAUUUGGGAUGUUGCUUGGCGGUGAUUGCAAGGCAGAACGGGAAGCAACAAAAGUUGUUAAAGUUGAGCCCUUCAAUUCUCAUAAAAAGCGAAUGGGUGUUGUUCUAGAGCUUCCUGAAGGUGGCUUCCGGGUGCACACUAAAGGUGCUUCUGAGAUAAUAUUAGCUGCAUGCGACAAAUUCAUGGGUCCAGAUGGCGAGGUUGUUCCCCUUGAUAAAGCAUCCAUUGAUCUUUUGAAUGGCAUCAUUGAACGUUUUGCUAGUGAAGCCCUUAGAACUCUCUGCCUUGCAUACAUGGAGGUCGGCAAUGAGUUCUCAGCUGAAAGUCCUAUUCCCACCUCAGGGUACACAUGUAUAGGCAUUGUGGGUAUCAAAGAUCCAGUUCGUCCUGGUGUCAAGGAGUCUGUAGCAAUUUGUAGGUCUGCUGGUAUUACAGUCAGAAUGGUUACUGGAGACAACAUAAACACUGCAAAAGCAAUUGCAAGAGAAUGUGGAAUUUUGACCGAUGGAGGUUUGGCAAUUGAAGGCCCAGUGUUUCGUGAGAAGAGUGAGGAGGACUUACAAAAAAUUAUUCCAAACCUUCAGGUACAGUUUCUUAUUUUUCUGAAAAGACACUUGUACAGAAACAUGUGAUCAAAAUUUCACAAUCCCGCCAGUGAGCUGUCUCAGAAACAUUUAAUUAAAUGAAUUUUACUUAACAAAUUCCCUAGACUGUAGACUGUUAAACCUAUUGAAAUUCCUUAUUCCCCCGUUACCAUUAUUGCACAGCUAAUUAUGGUAGAUGUACAACUUCAUGUCUUUAGUGGGAAGUAGAAAUACAAACAGUGACAUAGCACUAACCAUAUGAACGAUAAAUACAUUAUUUCUUGACUUAUGGGUGACUUGCACCUUUAGCCAUAAAUAAUAGAACAGUUUUCUUGUUUAAUUUUGCUGUUCCCUUCCACUUCAAGUGACUUUUCUAAUGAUGCAAUUUGAUGUUAUGAUCAGGUUAUGGCUCGUUCUUCACCAAUGGAUAAGCAUACCCUUGUAAGACACUUACGGACCACUUUUCAAGAAGUUGUUGCUGUGACUGGUGAUGGUACAAACGAUGCUCCUGCACUUCAUGAAGCUGAUAUAGGACUUGCAAUGGGCAUUGCUGGUACUGAGGUAUUUACGAAGAUGUUGCUUCUUUUUGUGUCCUAAUAAAAGCCUCCUCUCACUCUCUCAAAUUGUAAAGUCGCACAUUUCCACAGUUGAUUUUCCUGUUUUAUAAAUAUAAUAUGCUAAAAGCUGCAACUUUUUUACUUCUCAGGUAGUUGUUUCUAGAGAAAAGUUCAUUCACUAUUUUCUCUCUCAUGUCAUGCCUGUAAACCUAUUUUGUUGCAUUACAAACAUUCAAUUCCAGUAGAAUUUGAUUGGAAACUAUAGUUGUACAAUCAGAGUUGCAUGAUCUUAUUACUAAAUUGAGAUAUCAGAAGAAUGCACAAGGGUUGCAAACUGGUGGUGGUGGUGAUAAGACUAAAUUUUUUGAGGUUUACAUUUGGAUAAUACUAGAAAUAAGUGAAUCCUUUGCCCAAGGACGUCUUAUUUACUCUCUUCUUCUUGUGCAUGGAUCCCCUGAUCCUUUUUGAUAUUAAGGUAAUUAAGAAUGUGCUAAUUAUAUCAGGUGGCAAAAGAAAGUGCUGACGUGAUAAUUCUGGAUGAUAACUUUUCUACAAUUGUGACUGUGGCCAAAUGGGGACGUUCAGUGUACUUGAACAUCCAGAAAUUUGUUCAGUUCCAGUUAACGGUUAAUGUAGUUGCACUUAUUGUCAACUUCUCUUCUGCCUGUUUAACUGGUAAGCAGACUGCGAUGCAUUUUCUCUCUUGUUUAAGUUUCUUAUUCUUUUUCUCAUGAAAAUAUUUUAUUGGCUAACUUUUUGUUUUGGUGUUGAUAACGCUCAUAGGAAAUACUCCCCUUACUGCUGUUCAGCUUCUCUGGGUCAACAUGAUCAUGGACACUCUAGGAGCCCUUGCAUUAGCCACGGAGCCACCUACUGACGAUUUAAUGAAGAGAGCACCGGUUGGCAGGAAAGGAAACUUCAUCACUAAUGUGAUGUGGAGAAAUAUCCUAGGGCAGUCUCUGUAUCAGUUUGUGAUAAUAUGGUUUCUACAGACCAGAGGAAAAGAAGCUUUUCAGCUUGUUGGCCCAGACUCGGAUUUGAUCUUGAACACCCUUAUCUUCAACUCAUUUGUGUUUUGUCAGGUAAUUAUGAAUCAUCGAGGGAUGUGAUUUAAUCGUAUUGCGUUUGUUAAUGAAUGGAGUAUUGGAAAAAGUAAAAUUCAAAUUCAGGAAAUGACUACUCAUCCAGAUACAUUCAUUUGAAUGCUACCGUCUUCUUUCAGGUUUUCAAUGAGAUCAGCUCGAGGGAAAUGGAGAAGGUUAACGUCUUCAAAGGCAUAAUGCAGAACUAUGUUUUCGUGACUGUCCUCUCUGCCACUGUUAUCUUUCAGAUCAUAAUCAUCGAGUUCUUGGGUACAUUUGCGAACACACAUCCUCUAAGUUGGAAACAAUGGUUUGCCAGCGUUGCACUUGGGUUCCUUGGCAUGCCGGUUUCAGCAGUUCUGAAAUUCAUCCCUGUGUAACAAGACUGAAAUCAACCGGAACUUGAACAGGUACUUCUCCACUUGCCUACCGAUGGAUGUUUUGUUAUGGCAUCAUUUCAAAGAUCAUUCUUUUGACUCCGUAAACUCUGAAAAGCUCACAAAUUCAAGGCUAAAUGAUAAACUCUCCCGCUUACAAAAUGAUAGUUUUUGUAAACAUGAAUGCGUAGGACGUAUUCUACCUGUUCGAACGUCUAACCAGUUGUACUUUUACAAGGAUUUAGUUUAUGCUAACAGGUUGAAUGUUUUUCUUAAUCGUGCUGUUCAUUCCUUAAUGCUCAUCCUUCUCUUGUAAUUGCUCGUGUUAUUGUCGAUAAUUAAACCACCGAUUGAUGCAUGCUGCAUAAGAGACUGCUUGUACUAUAGUUGGCCAUGGCAAUUUCCGCGCAUAUACCGGAAAUUUUGCCGUAAAAUUUACCAUGGCAUGCGACUCCCAUCUCUUUCGUCGAGAAAGCAAAUUAAAUGAUAUGACAUGCAAUCUUCUCGUAUCUUCGCUUUCACCCAAACAUCAGUCGAAGUUAUGAAUGGAGGUGUCACGUGACGAGAGAGAUAUUAGCGUAAGAAUUUACUCCAAUUACUCUUUAAGCCAGUUAAAGUUUUACCUAAUUUGGUCACAUGUGAUAUUUACUAUUACCGAAGUAAUUCCACUCUGCUAUCGAAAUUUCUUUAGCAGAACAGAAUCACACUUCUCUGAUGUAAUGCAACUCAAAGAAUUCUCUACAACAUCCAUUCACGGGGCUCGAAUCAAACGGAAUCAGCGAUCAAUCGGUUUUUACAGGCUUCUCUGCUGGAACUGAAGAUCUAACUGCAACAUUUAUCGGGAUCGAUCGGUCCUUCAGACUCUUUAGCUCCUCCUGCAUCCGAUUGUAACAUAAAAACACAGCUUCCUGCAACACAAGGGCCAAUGAGUCCAAGAUUAAUCAAAAUCCAGUCUUUAAUCUAAUUGAUUAAUCAACAAAUGAGAUCAAUUAAGAAAACUCACAAUUUCCAGAAAUUUCAAGUCAGGAACCGAUUUUAUCAUGACUUCCACUGCUUCCUUUAUAAUUUCUGAUCCGCUGCCAUUAAGGUGGCGGCUGCUGCUACGGCGGACGGUCGAUGAUGCAUUAAGUUAAUCUCUGUAAAACAUUAAGAUUAGAGUUAAUUAAUAAAUUAUAAUUAACCAUCGAAAUUUCGAAAACAAGAAAUGGGGUUUUGGAGUUCGGGGACUAACCUUGAGAACCCAUGUGAUGGAUUCAGAUCGAGCUUCCAAAAGCCAGCUGGGAAUGAUCACACUUUCAUCUUUCUUGAAGCCGAAUUCGAUCUCUCUGUUGAUUAAGUUCUUCAGUUGCUCUUGUUCCAGUGCACUAUCGGAGCAGUAGUUCAUGCUGAUCAAUGCGUUUUCAUCAGCCAUCUCUCUCCGUCCAAAAAUGUCAGACGUUCGUGGCAACAAACGUCUGGCGAGAAGGGAUCGUAGUUAUCACCUCCGUUGUUUCUUUCUUGGCAAGAAAGGUGCAGAAAAUGUAGUAGAAAAAAGGAAUCAAAUAGUAUGAACUCAGUGAGCCAACCCAGUACUGAACCCAAAGAUUUGGAGAGAGAAAAUGGUUGACCAGCAAAGACUGAAUACGACUGAUUAUAUUUAUAGUGAAAGUGGAUGCAGAGAUGUGACACAGUUUUGACGGUUGCAGGUUUAGCAGAGUAGUCUGUUCACUCAUCUGUUCCUGCUUUGUGAGUACCACAAGCUUGAACGCUAGGUUGGGCAUACGUUCGUGUGCGAUUGAUCCUAGCAUCUCUCAUACUUAUAUGCUGCAUCGUUUUUCCGAGAGCAUAUUUUGCUUCUACAUCUCAAAUUAACCGUCAAAUUCUCCGGCUUCAAGUUUUCAACAUUCACUGAAAAUGCCCAUAUAAUAAGAGCAACUCCAAUCGUUCUAGGAGAGCAAGGGCAAGGCAAGGUGAUGGCAAGCCAAUGAAAUUGCUCUUAUAAUAGUAAUUGGCUUGGUGCAGAUCCAUCGGUUUGAGAAGAGAAAGGGCAAGGGAAUGGCGAUUAAUAUUCACAAAUAUUUCUUUUUAAUGUUUUAUGCCUUGUAAGUGUGUAACUAGCAAAUUUGUUCUUAGAAAAUAAAACUUCAUAUUUAACCCCGAUAAUUUAAUUUUAAAUACAAAGCAAAACAUAGUAUUACAACAAGCAUAAUUAAAAAUAAAAGGCAAAUGAAGAAGAUGGUUGAACUUUAUAAGGUUGUGGAGUGUUUUUAAUUUUAAGUGUAUUGUUAAAAAGCAUUUGUGCUUAUUUAGAAUUUUUUGGUGGUUUUUUAGCUUUUUUUAUCUUCAAAUUAAUUCAGACAGUUGAUUUACUAAAUUUUGUUUAAAUCAGAUGCACCAGAUUGUGCCACGUUGGACAACCUUAAUUUUUUUUUUUUUUAAUGUUGGAAAUCCAACAGUCUGCAAAGACAAGGCAACGAUCUCCAAGGGACUAGAUUUUGCAUAUGGGUGGGCCCAGUACUGCAAUGGCACAAGCCAAGGCAAUUCUUGCAAGGGCAGUUGAAAGGGUAUAAGCCCUUGGCCUAAUUGCCCUCCGUUUUUUGAACCGGUGGACCAAUUUUUUUUUGGGGCUAAGGACAAUUCAACCCAAUUGCCCUAUCCAUUAGACCAUGAGUGGAAAUGCUCUAAUGGUGUUUCCGAAUUUCGGUCUACAUGGCAUUUACACAACUCUUUUUCUCUUUACAAACUUGAAAUGUGUGUAUUAAUUUCUACUAGGUGUGUCUGAAUUUCCCUUCAAUGAUGAUUGCCUUGUACAAAAUACUCACAGACAUUGCAUAAUAUGAAAACAAAUAAUAUUCUGGUACAAAUUCUAGGGCAAAAAGCUUUGCUCUUUUAUUACUUUCUGUAAAUUUUCUUCAGGAAGCUGUUUCUCAUCACCUCCAAAUCAUGACAUUGUGAACAAGUAAGAACUAUGCACUCUCUUUAAACCAGUUACAAUUUUACUGAUGUAAUCUAAUCUAACUGAAAAAUUCUCUACAAGUUCCAUCCGCUGGGCUCGAAUCAAACAGCAUCAGCGAUCAAUCGAUUUUUACGGACACGGGUUCUUUAGGUUUCUCCGUCCUUAGCUCCUGCAGUAUAUUGUAGCAUGAAAACACAGCUUCCUGUGACGCAAAAGGCCAAUAAGUCCAAUACUUCAUAUGAAACAUCAAUUAAGUAAUGAGAAAACAGCUAAAUGAACUCACAAUUUCCGAAAGUUUCAGUUCUGGUAUGGAGUUUAUCUUUAGUUCCAAUGCUUCUUUUGUUAAUUUCUGAUCCAAUGCCAUCAAGGUGGCGGCGGCUGCUACAGCUGACGGUCGUUGAUGCAUCAAAUUAAUCUCUACAUUAACAUUAAAACAUGAUUAACUAACCAUCUAAAUCAACUCACAAUUAAUUAAGUGAUCAAAUAGGUACAGAAGUACCUGUGAUCACAGAAAGGAGGAGGUCUUCAAUCUUUAAUUUUACAUCAGAUGGAGAUUCUUGGCACAACUUGGAGAUGAAGUAAUCGACAAACGAGAAGGGUGUGAUGAUAUUCAUGUUCCAUUCCAGUGCUCCCAACACCAUAAGCUCCAUUUUCUGAAUCAGUUUUCCUUCGAAAAAGUGAGGAUUUUCGACUUCAUAUUGCGACAGUGAUGGAAUGUUCUGCUCCUUCAUCUUUGCAGCCAGAGAUAGACACGCCACAGAAAGCAAUCUAACCAUAGCAACCUGCAAAAACAUGAACUGAUUCUCGUUACACAAUCGCCAUAAACACCGAAUGGAAUACAGUUUACAUUACACAUUGGCAUUAUCGUUUAGACAUAGCCCGAAAAGGCGAACAACAAAAUCUUACAGGGAUUUGUCUCAGGGAAAUGAACCGAUCAAAGUAUGUCAUGCACAAAUAUGCUGUUCUAGGAUGAAAUCCAAGACCCGUUCUUCUCUGAAAUCCCAAGAAACACCAAUAACAGAACACAAUCAAUUUCGAUUCAAAACAACUUUUUGUUAUCGAAACUUGGAAAACAAGAAACUGGGUUUUUGAGAUUAGAGACUGACCUGGAGAACCCAUGUGAUGGAUUCCAAUCGAGCGUCCAAAACCCAGGUGGGAAUCACCAAAUCUUCGUCUUUCCCGAACCCAAAUUCGAUCUCUCUGUGGAUUAAGUUCUGCAACUGCUGUUCUUCCAAUGCAAACGCCAUCGUAAUAGUUGUUGAGUUUGAGGAAUGCCUUGUCUUCUACAAAAUCUCCGUUGAAGAGAAAGCUGUGGCUUUCUCGGCAAGAAAGGUCCGGCGAUACAGGAUCACUAUUUUGGUUUCUUUUUCUUUCUAUCUGUUUAUUGCAUUCCGCGCAGAAAAUCUAGUAGGAACAGAGUCGGAUAAUACAAUCCCAGGACUGAAUAAUCCGAGAUUUGGAGAGAAAGAAUGGUUGACCAGCAAGACUGAUAAGGACCGGAGAGGUUGAAAUGGAGACGAAAUAGGGUUACAGUUUAGCAAGAAUGUGACACCGGUUUAACGGUUACGGUUUCAACAGAAUCGGGAAACGGGGUGUGUGAAACAGUUUAGCAAGUACCGGUUUAGGAAAGUAAUUUUCACACACAUUUUUUAGCCUCUUAUACAGCCUAUUUAGGGCUGGUUUAGUAUUACUGUACUUUGAAAAAAAACUGUUAUGAGAAUAAGCGGCUAUGCUGUGAAAAUAAGCGGCUGUAAAAUAAAUCAGCAGAAUGUUUGGUAAACUUUUUUGUAAAAGUGCUUUUGGAAAAAAAAAAAAAAAAAAACAGUCUGAUAGUGGGUCUUUUCAUUAAAGGAGCAUUGUAGCUCCGUGUGCUUUGAAAAAAAGCAAGUUUUCCAAAGCUGCAAAUAGCAGCUUCAACUUUUUCCUUUGAUUUCAGCUUAUUCUCACAGCAGCUUCCAAAAUAAACCCUUUUUUUUAAGCACCUCACUCCCAAACCACCCCUUAAUCAUGACCAUUGAUUAUGUUUUAUUUAUUUAAUUUGAUGGCCAAAAAUAAAAAGGGGUGUGUGAGACGGAUUUUUUCAAGUACCAGGUUGUCAAACGGUACUCCACAUGUCAUAAUACAAGUGGAGGAAAUAAAUUUUUUUUUUUGUGUGUCCCUCCACUUAUUUUAUGUCACGUGGAGUAUUUGAUUGAAUACAGAACACUUGAAAAAAAAUUAUCAUGUGAGGCUAAAAAGUAAAAAAUGUGUGUGAGAAUCACUUCCUUUAAAAAUUGUAUUUGCACUUUUAUAGAAUCAACAACCUGUCAUUGCACAUUUGAAUGAACAGGUCAUUGAUUUUACAAGAUGAACACGUCGUUCAAGUAGGUUUAAGAAAAAUGAAAACUAACGUAAAGUCUUAAAAAAAUUUAGUUUUAAUGAAAAAUAACAAAUAAAUAUGUAAUGAAUAAUACUAGAGAAAGGUAAAAAUGUGGUUUUUCGUUAAAAUUGAACAGUACCGGGAGUAUUUCGUUAAAACUCCCUUAAGAAAACGCUUAUGAUCAAAAGCAAUAUCUAUGUGACGGUAUUUAAAAUGAAAAAUGACACAUUUGAAUGAACAUAUCGUUGAUUUUACAAGAUAAACUAUAGCUACACUAAGAAUGUUACUGUGAUAGUAUUUAAGUUAUUAAUUGCAAAUUCUUAUGCAUUUGAAUUUUUAUAAAUUGGAGUGAGUAUUAAUUUUUGAUAAAAUGUCAUUCCCGUCACGCCUUAGUGUCAUAUACCUAUUUUGUAGAAGUCUUCGUAUCUGACACUCAUAAUAUUAUAGUCAUUAUAUUAGUCAUUGAGGAUCUUCUAAUACGUUUUGAACCUUUGAGUUAUCUUAUAUCUUAAAAUUUAGCGAUUAUAAAUUGCAGAAUAUGGAAUUCUCCGGAGCACAACUUAUUUUCGUAGUCAGGGAGGAGGGUACAUGAAUACGGGUUGUGUUUCCCUAUGUUUUGACUGUCCCAGAUCCCAUUCCAAUUCAAACUUGUCACUUCUGAAACAAAAACCCUGAAGCCACCGGGCAGUGUGCUCACAUGGCCAGCCAACUUCAAGCUUCCCAUAUAUUGUCCACCACCACUCCCAUUUUUCUGCCAACACACCCUUGACUCUCAAAGGAGGAGUGCUAGGAAAAGGAAUCCUCUCCGGAUUUCUUUCUCCUAAUUGAAUUAGGGAAUUCAUACUGUUGAAAUUUGAUCCAACGGCUACAAACAGGGGUCCAUUUUAAAAGUUAUAAUAACUUCAGUCGUUUGAUCAAAUUUCAACAAAACGAAUCCCCUGAUUUAAUGGAUUAUAAGAAAAAGAUCUGAAGAGGAUCUCUUUCUGAAGGCUAGGGUACCCUUACAAUUAAAGGUAAGCUGUUGGAAGGGUCUUGGACUUGUCAUGAUCAAGUCCCCUCUAACACAUCUGGGCCUUUUAAGUUUAUUGUUCAAUGACCCUUCUCUUUCUUUUAAAUGAACAAUGAUAAAAAAAACAAGUAGAAUGUGACAAGAAAAUGAACAAUAAUCCCUUUUAAGAAAGACGUCCACGCGGCAAGCAACUUGUACGGAAGCAGUGUGUUCAUGAAAAUGUGUGUGAGCGACAGGGAAGCUCAAAUGUGAUCCUUUGUAGCACGUAAUUGUUACAUUUUAUUGUGAUGUAAUCGUUUCAUUGAAUUUUUUUUUAUUCUCAUCUUUAAAAGACUUCGAUUAUUAAUCGUGACUACGAAGCAAGCUUGGAUUGAAUCACACAUCUAAAACGCACCCUGGUAUUGUUAGAAGAACCAUAAGAAAUUAAAAAGGAAUUGAUUUUUAUACUUUCAUUUCUUCUUUAUUUAAAGAUGACUCCAUGCUCCGAUUGUGGGAUAUUGUUGUUUGAGAAGAGAGGACCCCUUCAAGGUUGUUGACAGGCAAGUCCUCAGGACCCCUUCAAGGUUGUUGAUAGGCAAGUCCUCAGGAGUUUUCGGUAUUUCGAAUAAUUCCACCGAGACUAAGGGCUUUAUAUGUAAUUGUCUUUUAAUUUUGACAAGCCAAAGAGCUUAAAAAUAAGAAAAGAGGAAUAGUGCAGUGGAAAAAAAAAAUCCAAAGUGCAAAGGCCCACUUGUUUUCUAUUUUUGUUCUUCUCUUCUUUUUGUAAGAUGCAAUUUUUGUUCUCAAUAGAGUAUUGAUUUUGAAUUAUUAUUUUUUAGUUGUCCCUUGUACUAUCUUAUGAGUUGCGAUUGGUGAACUAAACAAGAUUGAAUAUUGUAUUUUGAAAUAGUUAGGCUAGGAAGGGAAGUGAUAGAUUGAGAUAUUUUUUCCAAUGUUUGGUGUACACAAUGUCAUUUUAUGGUCGUCCAUUGUAAGAAUUGUCAUUUUUGUUUGUUCCUUGUACUAUCUUAUGGGUUACGUUUGGUGGGCAGGACAAGAAUGAACAUUAUACUUUGGAUUGGUUAGGUUAGAAUGUAAAGAAAUAGGUUGGGAUGAAAUUUGUAAAACCGUAUGUGAAAUUAGUUGCAUAACCCAUUUUAUUUCGGAUUUAUAGCCUAUCCAGUCCAAAUUUCAUUUACACCAUCAAACAAGACUUGAAUGUAUAGCCAUUUCAAUUGGCUAUUACCCAUUCCAUUCAGCUAGGGGUGGGCACGGUUUGGUUCGGUGCGGUUUUGAGUGAAACCGAAACCGAAUUUUUUUACGGUUCGGUUCGGUGCGGUUUUGAAGCCAAAACCGAAAUGAAACCAAUCCGUUUGGUUCGGUUCGGUGCGGUUUCAAACGGUUUCGGUUUGGUUUUUAAGAAAAAAUGUACAAUUUGCAAUUUAACAUAUUAAUAAGCAUUUCCCAAUAGCAAUAGGAAAAAGACAUUUAUUAUGUAAACAAUUAGCAUGUUGCAUGUAGUUGUGAUGUUAAAACAUGUUUGUGCAACAAAAAGGGUGUCCCUUACAAUGUUUAUCAUAAAACAAGUUGAAUAAAUUUGAAUUCAUUAAACAUGAGCGAAACUUUGAUAUUAGAAUAUGUGAUAUCAUGCUUCAAAUGAGAGGACUUUAUUAGAUCAUUGUUCGACUCUUGAUAACAAGAUUAGUCCACCCUUGUACAUAUAUGUGUGUGUGAUGGUAUAAAAUAACAAAGGUCCUUCAAGUUAAUGAACAAAAGAAAGUGAUGAAUGAUGAUAUUCUAGUGUUGUUGAGUCCUAUACUAAGUGUAUGGAUUCUAACAAACAACCAAUUAAAACAUGAAAUAUAAUAUGGACAUUUAAUUAAAUGUUUAUUAAUAUUUGUGGUGCGGUUCGGUUUCGGUGCGGUUUUCAAAAGCCAAAACCGAAACCAAACCGUUUUCUAUGUUGCAGUUUGGUUUCAAAACCGCAAAACCAAACCGUUCGAUUUGGUUCGUGUUUCGGUUUCAGUUUUCGGUUAUAAGUGUCCACCCCUACAUUCAGCACGCCAAGCAGACGUAUAGCUUUUUUUUUUGCUUCAAUAAAGUAUCUAUUUUUCAUCCAAAAAAAAAAAAAAAAAACACCAUCUUUCUUCAGUCACGUGUCUCACGUGCUGCACUUUUCUACCCGCCUCCUGGCUGUCUUCCACUCUCCCAAACUCGCGCGUCAGGCCGACAUCGCCGACUCCGUACUACGUAAUAUUUUUCUGAGCAACUCCAGCCCCAUACUCUCUUAUCACAAAGCACACCAAACCCAACGGCUCACAGCCCGCCACGUCAUAAACCAUACGACUCCGCGCACCAGCGUGCCACAUGUUGGCACCGAAUAUUCGAUGCCACAAAAUGUUCCAGAUUUCAAUUUCCCCCAAAUUUUGAUUUCUCAAAAGAAAGAGGAAGCCCCUUCUCGCAUUUUGCCCCAAAUCAGGAAACCCUAAUUCCAUUAAUGGCUGAAUUGGUCUCUGGAUUUUCUGAAUCGCAGUUUUUUCUCGUCUCCGGCCAAUUCGAUUUCGUCGAUCUCGUCAGAUUUUCUUCUCUUUGGCAGCGCUCUCCUCCUCCACCUUCUUCUUCUCAGAUUUUCAGUCGCCCUUGUAACUUGUUCUGACAGAGAAAGCGUGCUAGGGAUUCAGAAAGUACAGUAGGGACCCCCCCCAUACGACUCACAGUUAUGGGGAAACGUGAGCCUUUCAUCCCUUUAGAGUUUUCAAUUUGAUAAUUUUGUUCAUUAGGGUGUUCUUAAUUCUGCUAAUUCUGAUGUUUCAAUUCGUUAGUUUUAAUUGUAAUUUGCUUGUUUUAUUGCUUGAGAUCCCAAAUUUGCAUGCAAUUUAUUACUUUUUUGUUGGUUUCAAUUAUUGCAACAAGUUUUGUUUUUGCUGAUUUUAAUGUUUGUUUGAGCUCAUACUACAUGUGGGUUUUUAAUUGUCUCCUAAAAAAGGAGGAUAUAAGAAUUAUGGAAUUUUCGGUGUUGAGGUUAUUGUGGAUUUUGGCAUUUGCAGGUAGUUCUCAGCGUAAGAAUGCUGCGAUGAUGGAUAGUGAUGAUGAUAAUAGUAGCGUGAGUUCGACGUCGACUAUGCGCUCCGAUCAUAUUUCGGUGUCUGUCAAUGAAGAUAUGCAAGUGGAUAAGGAUAGUUUACUUGACCAAGCUGUAGAUGCGUUGUAUGAGAAGAGGUAUACUCUCCUUUUGAUAAUCAUAUUGUGUAAUGAUAGUAAUAAUACUCAGAAAAAAAGUGCAAAGAAGCUUGUUUUAUUGUUGCCCAUUUUGCUUACUAAAUGUUAUACAUUGUGUAUGUGAAGGGGUUCCACAAGAGAAAAAGCUUUGUCAGCAAUUAUUGACGCAUUUAAUAGCAACAUGCAACAUUAGUUUGUGGAAAAGAAGUAAGCAACUGCAUUUGAUUAUAUUCACUUAUGCUCUUAGGACCCAGAAUGCCUUAGUUCUUACCGAUUGUAUUUUGCAUUGAUUCUCAUAAACUUAUUUGGUGUUCAUCAGGUUUGCCACUUUAUUGCAUCAGUGUCUGAAUUGCAUCAACAAGGGUUCGUCCAAAGAGAUAUGUUUGGUGUCUCAUGUGAUCGGUUAGGUCUUAACUCCUUUUUUGGCCCAUUCGUUUACUUCUCCCCCAAGUAUCAAAAUCAGUUUUUAAUCUUUUCGUGUGUGCUUGUAGGACUAUUGGCUUUGACUGUUGGAUGUGGAGACAAUGCUCAUGAAAUACUGGAAGAAUCAGUACCUGUGAUUUCACAGGUUUUCAAAUCUGGAUCUGAAGUCUCAAAAGACAUCAGCGGUAGCUACGAUAUCAUACUUCUUUAGGCUUUAGCUUCAUAUGAUUUCUGGUUGUUGGACAUAUCAUGAUAUUGAACCAGAGCAAACAGGAAAGUCAAUGCAAAUUAUGUGGCAAGUAGUUCAUCCAAAACAAAGUUCCAAUGUAAGUGAGUGCUUGCCGUAUUUAUCUAUUUUUAUUUUGUGUGCCAGCUGAAGGUGCUGUUUCACUAUUUGACUGUUGUCCAUUCUAUAACUUUUUCAGGUAAUGGCAGUCAAACUCUCAGCAGCUGCAAUAACCACCGUGGUGUCUGCGUGGUCCUUUCUUUUGACAACUGUAGAUGGGUGGAAUCUUAAUUUUAAAGAUUGGCAAGAGUGAGUAAAAUAUUGUUAAUUGAUGCAUUUCAUUGCUUUGCUUUUCUUUCAUUUGAUAAGGAUUUGUCUGCUUCUUGAUGUGUGAUUCAAACCACAUCCUGUUUAUGUAUAUAGAUUUUGGCUGCGACCAAUUUGAUGCAAUAACCUUGUGGAAUAACUUACCCACAUCAUAUAUUGUACGGUCAGUUUUCAUUAGGUACUAUUUAUGUUUAAUUUUAAAUAAAAAAAUUCAAAUAAUUUUUUGUCGUACGAUAUAAGAUGAAUGAUUAGGGUGUGAGGGUCUUUAUGAUUCUCACACUUUGAAUCCUGAUGAAAUCCAAAUUUUUUUUUUUUUUUUUCAUUAGUGUGACAUUUGCAGGGCACAUGCUGCACGACAAUAAUUUGAAAAGACGAGACUGACCACUUAGUGAAUGGCAUUUCCUCCACCAAUUUUGGUUUUAUCUACUUUGUUCCUAAUUUCUAAAGCCGGCUAGACCAUCAUUAUUGAAUCUCUUUCGAGAAGGUGCUACUAUAAAAUGAAAAAAAUGUUUAUAACAUUUCUUGUGUUAUUCUUAACCCAUGGACCCUCCAAUUUAAUUUUAACCAUGGCGAUAGUAUAUAUGGUAUAUUGGUGGGUGGGUGUAAAGUUAUUAACUACUAUAGUUUAAUAGUAUUCGUUUUAUUUGUAAACGAAAUGUCUGGAGAUUCAAUUUUCGCAAUGGUGAGUUCUAUACCAAAUUAUUAAGACAAACUUAUUGUGUGGUUAAGCUCAAAUCUCCGUUCUUUUUCUUUUUAAUAUAUCAAUGAAUAAAAAAAAUUGAUGGGAAGACCUGGAGUGAUAAUUCCAUAAAGAAUAAUUGCAAACAAUCGUCGAUUGAAAAAAAGAGUAAACUGUCGAUUUGCCCCUUGAAUUAUCACCCAACUUUCAAUUUCCCCCCUGAACUUUUUAAUUGGAAAAUUAAGGACUUAAACUAAUUUUUUUGGCCAAUUUCCCCCUACAGUUAGUUUUUCAUAGAUUUCAUCCAAAUUAACGUUAACUCUUAUCAUGUGCAAACCACGUAACUCUCAUUUGUGGACAAAAGUGUCAUUUCACUAGACCUUUAGAUACAAAAGCUAUAUAAUCACACAUAUUUGCAUAGGUUUAUAUUUUAGAAAUCUAAGGUUUUCAAUUAUUUUAAAGAAUGAAGCGACCGAACUACCCACACAUGUUGUGCAUAUGCUUCCAUUUAACAAAAAUUUGGAUGGAAUGAAUGAAAAAUUGACAGCAGGGGGCAAAUCGGCCAAAAAAAUUAGUUUAAGUCCUUAAUUUUCCAAUUAAAAAGUUCAGGGGGGAAAUCGAAAGUUGGGUGAUAGUUCAGGGGGCAAAUCGGCAGUAUACUCUUGAAAAAAAUAUGGGGUUCCAAUUUCAAGGUGCACAUUCUCCGACCCUUUAAUGUAGAUAGUAUAUAUUAAAAAAAAACUUUAUGUUAUAGGAAUGACUUUAAACAAGUUAAGAGUAGUAUGCUCACCUUCAUAUUUAUCCAAAUUCGAAUCAUCCUUAAUUGAGACGAAAUGUAUUGAAAACAUUACAAAGAAAAUGUUCCUUUCCAAAAUUUGAGUCACGUUUUAAACCAUAUAAAUGACUUCAAAAUUUCUACUUUACAUGAAGGUAUUUUAAAAUAUACUACAUAAAGAAAUAGAUAUAAUAAAGUGACCAAACUUAUAUCUGCAAUUUUACCGAGAAAUAUCAUAAAAAUUAGAAUAAUACUAAGGAAUAAAUAAUAAUUCUUUCCCAAAAACACAAAAGCAUAAAUAAUAAUUCUUCCCCAAAAGAAGAGAAAAGUAACAAACAAAAAUACUAAUGGCCCCGACUUUAAUUACAUGCUGAGCUGUCAUCACCUCAUUGGCUCCCAAUUCCCCAUCAAAGCCACCCCACAUUGCCAAAAUCCGCUAAUCAAGUUUCACCAACGAAACACACGGCUUUAGAAUUUUUUUAAGGAAAAUAUUUACAUUUUAUUAGAUAGUGUUUUAAAUUAUUUUUAUAAAUCGUUUAAUUGUACAUACUUGUUCAACACACGCAAUCCUGCCUGUAUCUGUAUUUUGUUCAACUCCUAUUAAUUUUUUUUCUCCGUAAACUAUAUUCUAUUAAAAAAGUUAAAUAACUGUUUGGACCCAAAAUGUUAUUUUGGGCCGAGCUCAGAAAUAUCCUCGGCCCAAAGGUGUUCAUUUAGAAUCUUGUCAUGGGCUGGCCAUGUUAAGGUUGGCUGAAUCCUGCUACAAAGAGGAUUAUUUCGGAUAAAGGUGAAGUAGUCGAGACCUAGUAUGAUAAGGAGUCCUAGGGAUGCUGGGACUUGGGAAAUGAAUUUGGCUCAUUAAAAAGGUGGGUUCAAAGUCCUAAUUGAAUUAGGAUUGGCCGAGUCCUAGUUAGAUUAGGUUAAGGAGUCCUAAUCCAAGUGUGGUUCUAGCUUGGCCAUGAGAGAGUUUGUUGCUAUAAAUAGAAGGGAGUGCAUCAUUCAAAGUCUCCAAAUUCAACACACAAACUGCCCUGCACAAACUCUCGCUCUACGCGAAACCUCUCAACAACCUUGAGAUUUUUAUUUUCUUUUUCCCGCCGACACAUCUUCAGUUUGGAUAAACAACAUUGUGAAGGCAACCGGCGACAUCUUCAGGUUGGAUAAACAACACUGGAGCCGUAGAAUCAGCCGAUCAAAGAGCACAUUCAGUUUGGAUAAACAACACUGUUUCUCGACCGACUGAUUACCUAUCCAAGUCUGGGUCGGCAAGGAUUUUCGAGUCCUUGUUGGUAGAGGUCAUCUCAUCAGCAUUCUCGGCGAAGUGAGGUGUUACUAGGUUACUACAUUCGGCACAUUGAAAGCCGAAUCUGAUAUUGAACUUCGCAAAACUAGCAGCCUUGUCUUCAGGCUCUAGAACCUAAAGGCCAAGACGUGUUCCUUCCUCGGCCGCAGUCGCAAAAUCAAGAAGUCAGCAGCGCGCUCAAUGCAACAUCAACACAUUUUACUCAUUGGUCGAGCUCGACCGAUGAGUUGGCACGCCCCGCACAUAACCGAAAGACGUAGUUAGCUUAUUAAUUACUUGGCCUACGUGCCACAUAGGCUUGGUAGUUUUUAGGGUCAACAUGGCACGGCUAGUGGGACACAGUGCUAAAGCUACGAAGUUCAUACCAUUAAGACACGAUCAGUAAAAAAGAAAACAGGAAUGGGUAAAUCAGGGGCUAACCUUCCACCUAUUGUCCAAAACCCAUAUCAUGAUGGCUUGUCACAGGCACAAAAUCCUCCUGUUGUUGUCACACCCGAAGUAACAAGUGCGACACGCCGAGAAAAGGAAGUCAAUCUCGGUGGACAGGCUCGUGAUGUGGAGAUCACCACCAGAGCAACAAAAGGAAUUUUUGUCGAAGGAAUAUUAAAGGAUUGUGGCGAGGACGAUGGUGAAGCAUCUGAUCCACCAACUAGGUCUUUUUUUCGAAGACAACUUGAUGAGCAAUCUUGGCAGUUUGAGCAAACGUUUAGUCGAGAAAUAAAAGGGAUACUCGAAAAAGUACAUGGUUAUAGCGUCGUGCAUACUAAAUUGCUCAAGGUCCUGGUUAGCAAUACCCAGAAUAUUGGACACGCUGAUCGAUCUAGACAAUUUAUUCUAAAUAACAAUCCAAUACCAGCAUUACCAGCCGAGACGGGAUCUGCUCGGCUCAAAAUGAUUGAUUUGAAAAAAAAAGGUGGAUCAAGCAGCAAGGUGGACGAAUUCGAUCGAGGAGCGGAAACGGCAUCCGUCGAUAUGGUUGAGGUCCAAAGAAUGAUUGAUUCGACCUUGAAAAAGGGGCCGAAGUUCCCAAAAUUUAUCCAUCCAUGCUCAGCUUAUGUAGAAAAGUUUGAAUUGUCCUUGUCCUUGUUAGAACAUGUAGCUCGGUUUACUGCGCAAUGCGGAGAUGUUAAUAGUGACUUCCAUAAACUGCGGCUAUUCAACUUCUCGUUGACGGGCUCAACAUUCGCGUGGUACAUCAAUGGUACAUCAACCUCCCACCUAACUCCAUCCAAAGUUGGGAGGAACUAGUCAAAAAAUUCCAUGAGCAAUUCUAUCGGCCGGGAAUGGAAAUGUCAGUUUCUUCAUUGGCCAGGAUGGCUCAAGCAUCUGACGAGUCACUAAUGGAUUAUCUUACAAGGUUUAAAUCGGCCAGAAAUUGGUGCUGAGUACCUCUCUCUAAAGUCAAAUUUGUCAGGCUCGCUUUGAAUGUGCUAGACGUGGAAUACAAAAAGAAAUUCCUGGGGGAACAUUUUCGAGAUAUAUAUGAGCUGGCUCAACACGUCGAACAAUAUUAUUAUCUGCUCCGAGAAGAAAAGAUAUUGAAGUCCUCAUCUCGAUGGACGAUCUAUAAGAACCCUACAGUUAGUUAUGCAUCAAUCGAAGUUGAAGAACCCAAAUGUGUCAACAUAGAUGCGACCGAGAUAGUGAUUGAUAAACCUUAUGUAUGCAAGGCAUUGGCACACGCCAACUCCAAAGAUGUCAAAACUCGCUCGGCCAGUGUAAAAGCGGCCGUUAAAACAUCGAAGGUCUACACAUUCGACAUAACUAAGGUCGAUGCCAUCUUCGUCCAGUUACUAAUUGUGAAAAUUGUCAAGCUUCGGCCGGGACAUAAUUUUCCCAAGGCCGAUGACUUAAAAAGGAAAAUUUAUUGCAAAUAUCACAACUCGGACAAGCAUGCAACGAACAACUGCAUUGUGUUUUGAGACACCAUCCAAAGCUUGGUCGACAACGGCAAACUCAAGUUCCUAGAAAAGAAAAUGGGCAUAGACACCGACCCAUUUCCUACGGCGACAAUAAACAUGGUAGAUGCUCGUCUGCCUGGGGAUAAAGGAAAAAGAAAGGUCGAGUUUGUUACAAUGCAACACGUCCCAAAGCAGAACUCUAGACCACGACUCAUGAUUGAUUUAUUUUCAAACGAGUCGCCUAAAGAUUUUUUGGGACUAACUAUCGUCGAGCCCAUGUUAAACUCCAGCGUAGAGGAAACGGAUGGGCUGGUGGUUUUAUUUAGUCGGUAAAAGGCAAACGUCAUCUUCAUCGAGCCAAAGGAGAAACCACCUCAAGCUACAAUACAACGACCGCCUUAUAUGGCCGCAACGACACUUCAAAAAGUGCUCGGUGCAAGCCAACACCAGGGAGUUUUCUAUAGGCUCAGCCGUCAAACACGGAUCGAUGGAAAACCUUCAGCCAGACGACGUCUUGAUUUCGACACACCGUUUUAUAACGAGGACUAUUAUGCGCGCAACUCUAGCAGCUCAAGUUCAUCCGCAAGCCAGAAAAUCUUCAAACCGCCUGAGCCACUCGACCAACUGUGGUAUAGUUAUAACUCUCAUACCAGCGUGUAUACCGCACUCUCUAAAUCGCAGAAAAACUGGCGCCAAUGAAUAGACUGCAUGGCCAGCCGACAAGCGGCUCGGGCUACCUAUGCUACCAAAUGACAGCUAAAAUAAAUAACAGGUAAUGAAGAUGACAAACAACCCUUGUCAAUCAUGGCUGAAUUACUUCAGGGAAAAAAGGUGAUCAAUCUUGACUUUGAGACCACAAUAGAAGAAUCUGAGAAGCGCAUCAAACUUAUUCUUCGGCCUGGGGAGAUGAAAGCUCGUUUCGAACACUUUAAGAAGGAAGCGAAAAGCAAACUUCCUCUGUUGCCUUCACAAGAGCCAUUAAUAAAAGUCUAACGAAAUCUACACCCCUCAUUUCUCGGUAAAGCUUUGAAGUACAUGCGAGAGUUUCACAAGAAAUAUUCCACUAAUGACUUGUACGGCAUACUAAAGGCGUGUUAAGAGGCUCUUGACCUGGCACUAACUUGCCCUGAUGCCGAGCAGAUUAUUCAAAAGACCACUGAUCCAGGGAUGAAGGCCAGGUUCCAGCAUAUACGUGAAACUCGAGUUAUUGGUUUUGAGGUUGAUCUAUAUACUGAUAUAGAUACCACCGGGCUUCAUUUCUCCCUCAAUGACCUCCAAUAUCUACGAUACCAUUUUGAAGUCUUCUCAGCCGUGUCUUUUUUCGGCCUGACGACCAAUGAGAAAGAGCGCGCAGCAUGGUUAUAUGCUUACCUAUACACAAGGGAUGCCCGAAUCGCCUAUCAAGAGCUUGCCCGUAAGGCGUUGUAGGGAUAAGACAUGUCUCCAAUGUUGAGUGAGCUCAGAGAUAACAAUUAGAAUAAAAUAGGUCAUGUGGAUGUACCACAUGAACAAUUACUUUAAAAAAUGAUUAGGUUGAAGACACUAAAAAACAUGAUACUUUGCUCGAUAGUUUGGAAGACGACGACCAUAACCCGAAGGACCAUUCGAUUCUCGAAAAUAUAGAAAUUAGCAUGGUCCACGUUCUACCGGCUGAAUUUCAGCCAACCACGUCCUAACCGACUUUCUUGGAUGGUGAAGUGGUUGCCGAAGAAGCGACGCAAGUCGACUUCAUCGUCAUGGAGGAGGACGAGCAAGUAAGCAAAGAAGACAAACUCAAAAUAACUCUUGCUGAGCUGUUUCCCCGCUAUUCCUCGGCUAAUCUUCAUCAUUUGAAGCCGUUGUAUGUUACAGCUCACAUAGAAGGAUAUCCAGUUUCCAAAAUCUUCGUUGACUACAAAGCAAUAGUCAAUAUCAUGCCCAUCUCCAUCAUGAAAGCACUACGUCACUCUAACGACAAACUUAUUCCAUCAGGGGUCACCAUGAGUAACUUUGUCGGUGACAAAUCCUAGACCAAUGGGUUAUUUCCGUUAGAAGUAAAUAUUGCAGGUCGUAAUCACAUGACUGCGUUCUUCAUAAUCGACUCAAAAAUCGAAUAUAAAGCAUUGCUCGGUCGGGAUUGGAUCCAUCAAACAUGCUGUAUCCUUUCGUUAUUAUAUCAAGUCCUCAUCUUCUGGGACAGUAAAUCAGUCGUGGUUCAUCUGGCCAAUGAUCAGUCGUUCGAAGCUACGACAACCACGUCGACUACAUCACCUUACAAGGUUUCAACGAUGAAGGACGGCCGACUCAGAUUUCAGUUCAGAAAGCCAUCAAGGUUGGCGCCGAGACUGUUCACAAGGAUUCAGUGAGACUUGGGUUGGCUGACCUCAUUUCCAAUCCCGAUGUCUGACACCAAACAGGCCGAACGCCAGGCUGUAGUUUCAUCUACCAUGGAACGACUGCUGGCUCAUUGGUAUACUAUUUCCAAACAACCGAAUUCGGGCGUAAACCUCGUGGAGUUUCUCGUUGAAUGAGAUAAUGGUCCUGUCAUUUCCCUUGACAAAGUCCAAGUUACCCUGGUCGAGCUUGAAGACAGUCAGCCUCAAGUCAAAGACCCAUUAGAGGAAAUAAAUGUGGGAACGGCCAAUGACUACGGGCCGUUAUUUAUUAGUGCCUUGUUACCCCAACCCAUGAAAACCGAACUUAAAGAUUGUUUUUCUUGGAAUUACCAUGAGAUGUCUGGUAUAGAUCGAACCCUCGUCGAGCACGAAUUAUGCAUUAAAGUUGGUUGUAAGCCUUUUCGCCGACCCCUUUGGCGAUUCUCGACCGAAGUACAACUCGGCAUAAAAGAUGAACUAGUUCGACUUUUAAAAGCCGGGUUUAUUCAGACUGCUCGAUAUGUCGAAUGGAUGGAAAAUAUCGUACCAGUUCUAAAUAAAAGCGGUGCUUUACGCAUUUGCAUCAACUUUCGUAAUUUAAAUUUGGCAACCCCAAAAAAUGAAUAUCCGAUGCAUCAAGGACGGCCACGGCCAACCAUGAGAUGUUAUCCUUUAUGGACGGCCAUGCUGGCUAUAACCAGAUCUUUAUUAUCGAAACUGAUAUCCACAAAACCGUUGCCCGUGGGCACUUGGGACCUACGAGUGGGUAAUCAUGCCAUUCGACCUCAAAAAUGCUGGUGCCAAAUACCACUGUGCUAUGAAUACCAUUUUUCAUGACCUAAUUGGUACAAUUACAGAAAUGUACAUCGACGAUAUGAUAGUUAAAUAGAAGGUCGCCGAACACAUCUAGAUGAUCUUAGGAAAACUUUCAUUCGUAUGCGCCAACAUAAUCUCAAAAUGAACCCAGCUAAGUGCGCAUUCGGUGUAUCGACCAGCAAGAUAAAUUUUCUCCGCCGUUUUGUAGCUAAUUUCGGUUGGAAAAAUGAAAGUGUUAUCUACACUUUUGAAACUCAAGGAUUCAGACAAAUUUAAGCGGCAUGAAAAACAUCAAGCGGCCUUCACACAAAUCAAGGUUGGCCUUACAACCCCACCCAUCCUCGUACCGCCUCGGCCCGGUAAAUCUCUUAAACUAUACAUUUCAGCAGUCGAAGAGUCAAUCAGCUGCCUCUUUGCACAAGACAACGAUAUUGGGCGUUUUAUCUCAGUUGAAAUCUUAACUCACCCGAAAUCAAUUAUUCAGCCGUUGAAAAACUUUACCUGGCUUUGCUUUUUGUUGCAUCUAAACUCCAUCAUUACAUGCUCAUUUCCGUCACUCAGGUUAUCGCCAAAUCGACGUUAUUCGGUAUAUGCUUACUCGACCAAUGGUCAAAGGCCGAAUUGGGAAAUGAACAAUGGCAUUGUCUGAAUUCAGUUUGCAAUACGUGCUAUAGAAAACCGUCAAAGGACAAGCACUAGCCAACUUCUUAGCUCAACAUCAUUCUCCAAUGGUUUCGGGGGCAACAACGUCGAAAUUGGCAUGGUGGAAACACGUGAUAAUUAUUGGACGAUGUAUUUUGAUGGCUCUCGAACUUCAGCCUCGGUCGGUGUUGGAAUCGUCAUUCAAUCCCCAGAUCAACAUCGCUGGUAUGUUUCUCUCAAGCUUGAUUUCGAUUGUACAAAUAAUUAGGCCGAAUACGAAUCCCUUUUCAUUGGCCUUAGCGUCCUUCACGACCUGAGGGCAGCCCACAUACUCAUCUUCGGUGAUUCGAAACUUGUGAUUAACCAACUCAAUGGCACUUUUCGUUGCAUGAGUUUUACUCUAGUGCCUUAUCACAUGGUUGCCAGCUAUUUGGCCGAUUUGUUCGACGGUAUUACAUUCAAACACAUCUCCCGCAUUCGAAACACCGACGCAGACGAACUGGCUCAAAUAGCCUCCGGAGCAUAACUCCUGGGGGGCGAGCUAAGCCAGGCAAUACUUGUAAUACGACGAUCGCACCUGACCUUGGUUAAUCAACAAGAUCUCUAACACAAUCACGUGAUCCGUACACAAGUGAUGUCCUUACCUUCGUUGUUGGAACGAGGAGAUCCUGUAGACAUGUGUGCAGUCAAGAUAUUACCAGACGACUGAAGAAGGUCAAUCAUGCGAUAUCUCGAUAACCCCAGUGGCAAACACGAUUGGAGGACAAAGGUUCAUGCCACAAAUUACGUGUCAUACUAGAAUGAGUUGUAUCGGAAAGACGAUGAUGGUUUAUUGUUAUUGUGCCUCGACUUGCAGGAGGCUGCCCAAGCAAUUACAGAAGUACACGAAGGAAUUUACGGAGCUCACCAAUAUGGAUGUAAGAUGCAUUGGUUGUUUCGUCGACAUGGCUAUUUCUGGUAGAGUAUAUUGAAAGAUUGUAUCAAGUACGCAUGGGGAUGUGUACAGUGUCAAAUUCAUGGGCCUAUACAGAGAGUCUCAGCCAAAUUACUCCACUCGGUCACCAAACCAUGGCCAUUCAAAGGAUGGGCCAUGAAUGUAAUCGAUAAAAUUACACCGUCUUCUGGAGCAGCAAAACAUGCAUGGAUAUUUGUGGUAACCGACCAGAUUCGGUGUACCAAAAACAAUCAUAACUGAUAAUGGCAUAAUCUUUACAGCCGAUAGGUUCAAAUAAUAUACGGCGAACUUGAAAAUUCAACUCAAACAAUCCACGCCGUAUUACCCAUAAGAAAAUGGACAAGUCGAAGCAAGUAAUAAAGUUUUCAUUGGCAUUCUCGAAAAAAUGAUAAAAGAAAAGCCUGGCAUGUGGCAUUUGAAGUUGAACGAUGUUUUAUGGGCAUAUCGGACUUCACUCCGAUCAGCAACAGGGAUGCCCCUGUAUGCGUUAACUUAUGGGCACGACGCGAUGCUACCAGUUGAGUUAAGUAUAAAUUCAUUACAAGUAAUUGAACAAAGUAGUUUGUACAGUGCCAAAUACAAUCAGGCUAUGAGAUAAGAGUUAGAAGACUUGGAGGAAGUUCGGCUUGAUGCUUAUAAUUUAUUGGUGGCACAGAAAAAGAUUGCUGAGCAAGCCUAUAAUCAAUGAGUCAGACAAAAAACAUUUGGCGAUGAAGAGUUAAUUUGGUAAAUCGUGUUGCCCGUAGGAAUUAAAGACCCUAGAUUCGGGAAAUGGUCGCCGAAUUGGGAAGGAUCAUUCAUCGUACAGAAAGUUCUCGGCAAGGGGGCAUACCACCUCAAAGAUCGAACUGGUUUGAUUCAUAAACUACCAAUCAAUGGGAAAUUAAAAAAAAAAAAAAAUUAUCCAGUCACUUGGGAGAUGCGAGAAUAAAAAGUUCAUUUCAUUAAUUUUGCAAAAAGAGUGUACAUGUGGAACUGAUCGAUUAAUUUAUAAGGGGUCGAAGGAAAGAAAGCUUUGAGGGCGGCUUUCAACUCUAACCACCUCACUUCACCCAUUGUGAUUUCAGCUUGCUAAGUUCUCUUGUCUAUCUUCAGUUGCUCAAUCCACUUCGUGCCAGCCGCGUAUUCAGUCAAACGAGGUUUGCUUGACUCAAAAUCCUUUGCUAGAUCAGAGGCAAUGGCCGACCUCUGACGUUGGAGUUUGGCAAUUUGACGGUCGAGGUCGGCUAGUUGUUCUUUCUUCGCCUUUAUCGCCUUGACAUUUGGACGAAUAACUUCUUGAGCGACCAUUGCAGCCUUAUAGUCGUUUUAUACCCGAAGAACUCUGUCGAAGAUAUCAAAAUAUUCUCAGGUUCGUUCUAGGAUAGAAGACAUGCGAGUGACAAUUUUAUUACUCAUUAGGUCGUCGGCUGCAAGGUUGUUCAAACAUUCUCCUACUGAGUUGAGGCAUUUGCGUUCGAGGAUUUGAGAAGCUGAGAGAGAUAAGAGCUCAUGUAGCUUGACAAGGGCAUUUGACUCGGCCGUUGAUGCAGAAGGGUCGGUUGUAGUGGUAGAAGGACCAGCCGUCCCCAAAGAAAUGGAAAGAAGGGCGUCGAGCUCGACUUCCCAUGAAGGCUGCAUAUGAAAGGAUUUUAGAAAAAAAAGGAAAAUCUUAAAGAAGCUAGCAUAGAAGAUAUUUGUGUUAGACCUGCCGAGAUGAGACUUCAGCCAUGUCAUCUGGUUCGUUGCUCGAACCUAGAAAGCUUAAUGGCCGAGCCCAGUGUUUAAGACUGCCUUUUAAUUCACGCGGCCGAUGAAGGUUAUCUAUGUUCGACGGCCACUGAAGUGGCCAAGAAAUAUAGAUAACACCAUUCGACGCAUAGAAUUUUUGGUGAAACGAGUGAUUGGGCACCUGACAUUUAGUAUUUUCUUGGUUUAGAAUUCUAAACCAGGAAGUUAAUAAAAGGAUAAUGAAGAUUCUUACGAAGGCCGAAGUAACCUCAUGUGGAGGAAUGUUGAGAUUCUGAUCUUGGGAAUGAAUCGGCAUCUCUAUCUUCGCUUCUGUUUCAACAGGUACCGCUUCGUGCCCAGCAUUCGCUUCGACAGCAGAAAGGUUGGCUUGGCCAGUCACUGCGACCACCAGCUAAGGAUUAGUGGGUGGCAACUUGGCCGGUUAGGGGCACCUCACCAACAAAGGUUAUUCGCCCUCGUUCUCCUAGACAAAAAUUGCUUGUUCAUUAGUUGGAAGAUCUAAUUAGAAAGAGAAAAAAUUGCUAACAAAAAUGGUCAUACCUCUUAUUCCACGAUGAUUACUGAUUUCUUUUUUGGAUUUGGAUGAGGUAUUUUCUCGGCCAGAGUGGCCGCUUUCCUCACAACAGCAUUUAUUGGUCCGACAGAAUGAUACAGUCAGCCCCGGAGCUGCAGGACCCUCGACCAAUGGAGUGACGACUGGUUCGAUCAUGGCUGGAAUAGUAGGGUAAACCUUAGUCACCUGAUCCAUUGGAGGAUUUUGCAGUCCUCUCGCUGAGGCCUCGACGAUAGAAGGAGGGAGAGAAACGUUAGCAGCAGUUACACCUAUGGUUUGACUUGAGAUCACAAGAAUCUCUCGCUCACCCUUCUUUGCCUUCUUUUUGAUGCGCUUUUGGGGCGGGGCAACAUUACCAGUCGCUCUUAUCUCUAGGUAAAGCCGUUUUCUAGGUGUGACUGACACAGUAGUGGCCGCCACUAGAGUGGGAGAAGUUGCGGGAGCUUGAACAGUUGCAGCUUUCUUUGAAGUGAGAAACAUAAAUAAAUAAAGGACGUCUACCUUGGGCCGCUUCUUUGGAUUUUGGGGUGAGAGCUUUCUUUGGACGAUCGUCGAAAAUAUUUUUGACAAUAUCCUUGACUGGUGUGCUAAAGAAUUAUUGGAUGUAUGUGUCCCACCAAUCAGCAAAUGUGGUAGUACUGUGAGUUUCAGAGACGUUCGACCGAAGAUGGAGUUUCGUGCACCUCUCUUGAAAUUCUCGCUCAGCUUCUUUACACUCUCUUUCGGACAAACCAGAGAUACGUUCUUGAGUUAGAAAAGAGUGUGAAGUGGGUAGAGGCACAUGGCAGCCUUGGAGGUAGCCAAGUUGCCUAGCGGUAAAAUGGGGGUGGUAGACUUCCCAACUCGCGCUCUGAGCAUCACAACCGAGAGAAAGGUCGCGAGCUAACACGAACGCCCCCAUUUUUGUCUAAGAUUGGCGUAUUCGGUCUCAUCCCAUGCCGAUGAUGGAAUCUUGAUGGAAGAUGGGUACUCCUGACGACGACAAAUCAGGAAUUCAUUGUCAGAAAGAUCUUCUAGGCCGAAGAAGUACUUGAAGACUUCUUCGGCCAAGUGAGGAUGAGCUGGUCUAGAGGCCAAUUGGAGACCUAGCGCUUCAGAGGACUUGAAGCUAGGGAUUUAUGGCCUCAGGGUGGUGAAGUAAACUUGCAGCCAAAACUGGAAAACCCAGAGUGGGCCGUUCUGGUACGGGUCAAUUUUGGUGACGGUCGAUUCGGCUAGGCAACGCGUGAGGUUGGCGAUGAUGGCCAAACUAAGAGCUAGGGUGUGACCACUGGCCAGAGCUUCGGCCACUGGCAUGUUUUCGAUCAAAUAUUUAUUUGACUUGGUACAAACAAUAAAUUUGUUGUACCAGUAGAAUAGGAAGGCUUCAUGUUCCCCUUUCUGUAGGUUUUCCUCCCCUCGACCAGCAAAUUGGUGGAUGAGAGUAUUAUAGUUGAAGAAGUUCUUGUGCAGCUUCUAGACUUUUUUUUUUUUGGCUUCUUGGUAUUUCUUUUUUAGGGUUUCGACGACAUGUUCGUCAAAUAAUGACUUAACGUCUAAGUUGAAUUGAUACCUAAGAAAUAUGGUAUCAACUGGAAAACCAGAUGGAGAAGUGCUAAGGAUGGCCGAUAUGUCGAGCACGGUCGGGCCAAUGGGGCCGAGGGGGAGUACCAUUGUGUUGGUGGCCGGGCACCAAAAACUCAAGGCUUCUGUGAGAAGCUCCCGGUCUAUGGCAAUCUCAAUAGUCGAGAGCUUGAUAGCAUCAUAAAUGCCAAGAGUUUUCCACUCUGUGUUGAAGAACUUUUCCAUUCGUUAGACCCAAGUUGCCCAAGAUGCAGGGAUCGAAGGCCAGGCUCCUUGAGGCCUGGUCAAAUCCCACUUCGACCAAUUUUACCCUUGGAGCAAGGGUUUCAAGCAGUGGGCCUUGAUCAUUUCGAUAAUGGCCUUUGGGACGUCGUCCUUGAAAAGUGGUCCCAAGAUCAGGUGGGAAGCAUUUGAAUAGUCUUCAAACCGUUGGGUCUUGAUAGCAUUUCGGUCGAUGAAGUCCUUGCACUUGGUGCACUCCUCAGAAAGCUUGGUAAUAAAGAUGUUAGAAGCCAUUGUUGAAGACUCGAGGGAUUUUCUGGGUUUGGGAGUUUUCUGGGUUUUGAGAUUUUCUAGGUCAUGAGAGAAAAUGGCAAGAGAUUCAAGAGUUCUAAAAACAUAAACUAUGAAUGAAGAAGAGUCAGGUAUUUAUAGGCAUUUUGGGAGGAAGAUCAACCGUUUGGUUUUUAAAUAGGGGGUAGAAUCGAUCGGGGAAUUUGAUAAUCAUGAGGGAUAUUCAGAAAAUCCAGGUGAAUGGACCAAAGAUUUCGUGGUUUGAGGAUGCAUGUUUGCGUGUGACAGCGGAUUUACUAGCGAAUAGACGUUUCGAGGGUCGCACGUUUCGAGGGUCAUUAUUAAAUGCAGACGAGUAAGCUGAGGAAUUGCCAAGUGGUAGAGCAUCUGACAAAGUUAAGAUCGUGCAAUCAUGCUUCAUAAAUGCACUAGAGUGGAUGGAAUAUUCGAGACUUUUCGUUGUCUUUCAAAUAUAUACUAAGGGUUUGAUUUCACUUCUUCAAGAUUGAGGCUCGACAGGAUAUUUAGGCUGAAGACCUCAGAAGCGAGGGGGCAAUGUUUGGACCCAAAAUGUUAUUUUGGGCCGAGCUCAGAAAUAUCCUCGGCCUAAAGGUGUUUAUUUAGAAUCUUGUCAUGGGCCAACCCUAUAAAGGUUGGCCGAAUCUUGCUACAGAUGAUUAUUUCGGACAAAGGUAAAGUCGUUGAGACCUAUUAUGAUAAGGAGUCCUAGGGAUGCUAGAACUCGGGAAAUGAAUUUGGCUCAUUAAAAAGGUGGGUUCAAAGUCCCAAUUGAAUUAAUAUUGGCCGAGUCCUAGUUAGAUUAGGUUAAGGAGUCCUAAUUCGAGUGUGGUUCUAGCUCGGCCAUGAGAGAGUUUGUUGCUAUAAAUAGAGAAUGGUGUGCAUCAUUCAAAGCCUAUCCAAUUCAACACAUAACUGCCCUGUGCAAACUCUCGCUCUACGCGAAACCUCUCAACAACCUUGAGAUUUUUAUUUUCUUUUUCCCGCUGACACAUCUUCAGUUUGGAUAAACAGCACUGUGAAGGCAACCGGCAACAUCUUCAGUUUGGAUAAACAUCACUGGAGCCGUAGAAUCAACCGAUCAAGGAGCAUCUUCAGUUUGGAUAAAUAACAUUGAUUCUCGGCCAAUUGAUUACCUAUCCAAGUCUCAGUCGACAAGGAUUUUCGAGUCCUUGUUGGUAGAGGUCAUCUCAUCAGCCUUCUUGACGAAGUGAGGUGUUACCAGGUUACUACAUUCGGCACAUUGAAAGCUGAAUCUGAUAUUGAACUUCAUAAAACUAGCAGCAUUGUCUUCAGGCUCUAGAACCCGAAGGCCGAGACGUGUUCCUUCCUCGGUCGCAGUCGCAAGAUCAAGAAGUCAGCAGCGCGCUCAAUGCAACAUCAACACAUUUUACUCACCGGCAAAGCUCGGCCUACGAGUUAGCACGUCCCGCACAUAACCGAAUGAUGUAGUUAACUUAUUAAUUACUCGGUCUGUGUGCCACGUAGGCUUGGUAGUUUUUAGGGUCAACAAUAUAACAUACUAAGAAUAUUUGCAAAGAAGACGUUAAAUUCAAAACAUCAAAUUUCAGUUUGACAUAUGACUUAGCAAUUUGACAUAUUGUUAAUAUUUUCCUUCCACCUAAUAUGCCAAAAUGUAUUUCUUCAUUUAUAUUUUUUAAAUAAAAAUAAUAAAAGUUGGGCUGUUAUUUGUUUAAAAAUAAUAAAAUAAUACUUAAAUAUUCUAGCAUUUAAGAUAAGGCAAGUUAAGUAUCUUUGGAAAUAUCAAAAACCUCAUUUGACAUGGCAUCAAUUUUGACAUCUUCUUGUUCAUGUUAGUUUAGUAUUCUCUUUGCAAGGCUUAUAGAUGAAUGUUGGAAGAUAGUGGGAGGGGGAAUUGUCAAACAAAUGACGGUGUUUGGACUCGUGUGUCCAAAAAAUACUUAGAGUUCUAUGAAGGCACCACUCUAGUAAAUAUUCGAAACCACGAGAGUUGUUCUUCAAGAUGGAAGAAACAUCUUCAGCCAAGUUUGAACAAAUGGCAUCAAGUAUUGUUAGCAGCCGCCCGCAAGUAGACAUGAAAGCGGCGCUGAUUACUACGAUGAAGUAAGUGCUUUCACAAUUUAUUUUAAAUAUUUAAUUAUAUUACAUUUAAUUUCAUAAAUUAAUUUCCUUUAAUUUUUUUCUCGGUACGCCAAACGAAGGAAUUAUAUAUGGAGAGUAGCUUGAAACCCUUCCAAAUACACAGUUGUUGGGAAAUUUGUAAAGGGUGGGUGUUAUUUGAAGAUCCACCACAUAGAGCUUCUACGCCGAUGUUCGGAAUAGCAUCCUUAGCUGCAUAUAUGGAUCAAGAUGGAUCUCCAACCAUUCAACAAACAAAGGUAGAAAAUCCGUCUUUGGAUGAAGGUUACAUACCUAGGGCUAUGGGACGAAACAAGGCGCGAAGGUUGAAGGAAAAGGGCAAGGCAAAUGAUGAUUAUGCCGCUCAACAAGAAGUGGCGGCCUCAUUGCGAUUAAUGGCAGAGCAAAAUGCCCUUGAGGCGGAAGAAAGGAAAAGUAGGCAUGAAGAACCGGGUCAAACAAGUACAAGAAGAGAUAAAUGAUAAGAAUAUGGAAAGGAACACUUCGAAUUACACUUCAAUGAGUAAGGCCUAUUUUGAUAGGAAAAAAAAUGAAAUUAUGACCCGGCGGCAGUUGUUUACCUCUGACUAUACUCCUACAAUGGCGGAUGAUGAAGGUGAUGUUGAUUAUGGAUAUUAAAUUUACGUUGUUGUAGUUUUAAAUUCAGGUUAAUGUUGUUUUUAAAUUUAAUUUGUAGUUUUUAAAUUUAAUUUGUAGUUUUUAAAUUUAAUUCGUCGUUUUUAAAUUUAAGUUGUAGUUUUUAAAUAUAAGUUGUAGUUUUUAAAUUUAAGUUGUUGGAUUUGAAUUUAAGUUGUUGUAGUUUUUAAAUUUAAAUAAUAAAUUAUGUUUGGCCCUUUGGCCCUUGGUUGGAAACGGAGGCAAAUAUGGUUUUGUACUGUUCAUUAAAAUAUUAAUAUCUUGGAGGCCAGAUGGUUAAAACGAGUCAUCUAGCCAGCCCUCGGUUGGAGAUGGCCUAAGGCAAGUUAAGUAUCUUUGGAAAUAGCAAAAACCUCAUUUGACAUGGCGUCAAUUUUGACAUCUUCUUGUUCAUGUUAGUUUAGUAUUCUUUUUCAUAUCAGCUUUGACAUUUCGAUUUUGAAGAUGGUCCAAUGAUAUAAAAAUUAAAUAAUCUACUAAAGAUAUCAAUUUGAUGAUUAUUUAAUUUACACAAUAAAAAUAUGGAGUUUUAACGAAAAGCCCGCAAUACUGUUCAUUUUAACGGAAAAACCACAUUUUUACACUAAAUAGUCAAACCUGGUACUAUUUACUUUACCCUUUAUUUUGUCGUUAUAGUUAAAACUCAAAAUUUUCAAGUACUUUUCAUUAAUUUUCCUAUAAAAAUAUGUUAUAUAUUAAAUUUUUGGAAUUUCCGAAUUUGACCGCUCUCUCUAUUUCCUAAACGCGGCAACUCUGACACCAAGCGGCAAAGACAUUUUAAUUUAAUAUUUUUACCUACUGUUAGGAGUAAUGAAGGUUCACAAUCUUAUCAAAGGUGUAAAGCACCAGAUUAGUACCUCCUUAGUCUAGAUGUUAGUUAAGAAAGUGUCGAGUCACAGUAUCUCAGCUCAUGAAAAUGCAGUUACGCAAAUCUCUCUCUACGUUUUCCUCUCUCUCUCUCUCUAAAACUCUAAUUCCUUACUCACAAAGAUUCUACUUUCUACAUGGGAUCAUCGCCGGAGUCCACUGACGUUGAUCUCCCGCUUCUGCGUUCUUGAUUUUCUUGCACUUUCUCUCUUGCCAAACAGGUCUUGUCCUACUUUUCUCUUCAAUUCUCUGUGAGAUUCCGCUAUGGCUGCAGCGAGAACUUUUAUGUGAAGGCGAAGAACUCGUCUCUGUGUAUAAGGCUAGGGUUUCUGGUUUGCUGUGAAGCUGAGAAGCUGAGAUGGAGAGCUAUUUGAACGAGAACUUUUAUGUGAAGGCGAAGAACUCGUCGGAGGAGGCGUUUCAGAUAUGGAGGAAGCCGUGUGGACUUGUCAAGAAUCGGAAACGGAGGUUCAGAUUCACUGCUAACCUCCCCAAGCGUUUUGAAGCUGAGGCCAUUCGACGAACCAAUCAGGUAUAAAUCGGUUACUCUUUUGGUUUCUCUCUCUUUUUUUGUUCUGUUUGGCUCCUGAGAAAAUUUUUGGAAUUAUUUAGUUCUUUUUGUUGAUAAGUUGAGUGUGACCCCAAUGCUACAGUUAAUCUGGAUUUCUAAUUGAUUAAUGUUCGUUUUCUGCUUGCUUAUAGAUUUACAUUUCAGCUGGAUUUCUAAUUGAUUAGUGUUCGUUAAUCUGGAUUUCUAAUUUAUUAGUGUUCGUUUUCUAACAAAAUCAAAGCGUUGUAUAUAGAAAGUUGGGAAGAUCAUCUCUCAAUUGAAAUUCGAUGAUGGGCUAGCUAAGAAGGGAAAAAGUAGACUCGCUGUUGUUCGUAAUUUGGGGUUGUGUGUUUCUGGUGCAUCCUGAAUUAUCAGUGCUGUUCCCAGAUCCAUAUCAGCUUGAAAUAGCCAUUUUGUUCUGUCCAAGUACAUAUUGUACUAGAUUUGGGGGAUGCGCGUGAACGUAGGGACUCGUGAAUGAUUAUCAUUUCAGAACCAUGCACCGUAAAAAUUUUAAGCAAACUCAUAGCUUUAAAUGACCUUAUGCUACAUAAACGAGGAUAAGUUCAAUUCUGCAGUGAACCAUAGUUGCUGUUUGAUAGACUAUGAAAUUAAGGUAUACCGUCUACCAUAAAAAGAAAUUGAGCAGGUAUAUUUAUACUUAAUAGGGGUAGUAACUCGUAAAAAAUAUAUUCAUGUGCAUACUUCAUGUAGAAAAUAUAUCUUUUGCUGUCUUAUAAAAGAAAACCUUAUUUCUUAGUGUGUUGUCCUUCGUUCUUCGGUUGAAAUAACAGGGUAAGUUUAGAGUUGCAGUUUUGGAUUCACAAGCUGCGCUUCAGUUUAUCCAAGGUUAGAAUCUUAACCUACUCAGCUCUAAAGUUGUUUGUACAGACGAUAUUUAUUAUAUUUUCAAACAAUGGUUCUACUUGUUUUAUCUGUUUAUUUGGUUUUCAAUCUUCAAUGUGUGCAGGCUUAAGUUUGCCCAGUGAUUAUACCGUACCUGAGGAAGUCAAAGCUGCGGGCUUUCAAAUUUGUGCUGAUGAGGUGGGAUCGAUUGUUGAUAGCUUUGAUUUGAAAAAGCUGAAAAGUCACGGUGGUGUGGAGACUAUCACAGACAAGCUUGGAACAUCAAGUAUCAAUGGAAUUUUUACUUCUGAGAAAUUGCUUAAUAAGAGAAAAGAAAUAUAUGGGGUUAAUAAAUUUAUUGAAAAACCGUCCCGUGGAUUUCUUGUUUAUGUGUGGGAAGCCCUUCAGGACACUACCCUCAUGAUACUUGCAUUGUGUGCCUUUGUAUCUCUGCUGGUUGGGAUAAUGACAGAAGGUUGGCCAAAGGGUGCCCACGAUGGACUUGGAAUUGUUGCUAGCAUUUUGCUUGUUGUAUUUGUCACUGCAACUAGUGAUUAUAAACAAUCCCUGCAGUUCAAGGAUUUGGAGAAGGAGAAGAAAAAAAUUACAGUUAAGGUUACUAGAGAUGGAUUCAGACAGAAGUUGUCCAUUUACAAUCUACUUCCUGGCGACAUUGUUCAUCUUUCUAUUGGAGAUCUGGUCCCAGCUGAUGGACUUUUUGUUUCGGGGUUUCCUGUGCUGAUAAAUGAAUCCAGUUUAACAGGAGAGAGUGAACCAGUUAAGGUCAACUCUACAAAUCCUUUUCUCCUCUGUGGAACUAAAGUUCAGGAUGGAUCAUGCAAGAUGCUUGUAACUACUGUUGGAAUGAGAACCCAGUGGGGUAAACUGAUGGCUACUCUUAGUGAAGGGGGAGAUGAUGAAACCCCCUUGCAGGUCAAACUAAAUGGUGUGGCAACCAUCAUUGGGAAAAUAGGCCUGUUUUUUGCUGUUGUGACAUUUUCUGUAUUGGUUCAAGGAUUGUUCAGCCGCAAGCUUCAACAAGGAUCCCACUUGAUCUGGUCUGGAGAUGAAGCAUUGGAAAUCUUGGAAUAUUUUGCUAUAGCUGUUACAAUUGUUGUUGUUGCUGUUCCAGAGGGUUUGCCUUUGGCUGUGACAUUGAGUCUUGCUUUUGCCAUGAAGAAGAUGAUGAACGAUAAGGCACUAGUCAGGCAUCUGGCUGCUUGUGAGACAAUGGGAUCAGCCACAACUAUCUGCAGUGACAAGACUGGGACACUAACGACGAGCCACAUGACUGUUGUGAAAGCUUGCAUUUGUGGUAAAAUCAGAGAUGUGGGAACCUCCGAGGAAGCUACUAACUUUGCUUCUAUAGUUCCUGAAUCUGGUUGGAGGCUUACGCUGCAAUCUUUUUUGAGCAUCUUCUGUGGUAAAAUCAGAGAUGUGGGAACCUCCGAGGAAUUUCCUGAAUCUGGUUUGAGGCUUCUGCUGCAAUCUAUUUUUAACAACACUGGAGGAGAAGUUGUUAAAAACAAAGAUGGCAAGACUGAGUUACUUGGAACACCCACUGAGACUGCUAUUUUGGAAUUUGGGAUGUUGCUAGGCGGUGAUUGCAAGGCAGAAAGGGAGGCAACAAAAGUUGUUAAAGUUGAGCCUUUCAAUUCUCAUGAAAAGCGAAUGGGUGUUGUUGUAGAGCUUCCUAAAGGUGGCUUCCGGGUGCACACUAAAGGUGCUUCUGAGAUAAUAUUAGCUGCAUGCGACAAAAUCAUGUGUCCAGAUGGCAAGGUUGUUCCCCUCGAUAAAGCAUCCAUUAAUUUUUUUGAAUGGCAUCAUUGAACGUUUUGCUAGUGAAGCCCUUAGAACUCUCUGCCUUGCAUACAUGGAGGUCGGCAAAUUCUCAGCUGAAAAGUCCUAUUCCCACCUCAGGGGUACACAUUUAUAGGCAUUGUGGGUAUCAAAGAUCCAGUUCGUCCUGGUGUCAAGGAGUCUGUUGCAAUUUGUAGGUCUGCUGGUAUUACAGUCAGAAUGAUUACUGGAGACAACAUAAACACUGCAAAAGCAAUUGCAAGAGAGUGUGGAAUUUUGACCGAUGGAGGUUUGGCAAUUGAAGGCCCAGUGUUUCGUGAGAAGAGUGAGGAGGAAUUACAAAGAAUUAUUCCAAACCUUCAGGUACAGUUUCUUAUUUUUCUGAAAAGACACUUGUCAGAAACAUGUUAUCAAAAUUUCACAAUCCCGCCAGUGAGCUGUCUCAGAAACAUUUAAUUAAAUGUAUUUUACUUAACAAAUCCCUAGACUAGUAAACUGUUAAACCUAUUGAAAUUCCUUAUUCCCCCUUUACCAUUAUUGCACAGCUAAUUAUGGUAGACAUACUAACAGUGACAAUAGCUCUAACCAUAUCAACGAUAAAUACAUUAUUUCUUCACUUACGGGUGACAUGCACCUUUAACCAUAAAUAAAAAGGUCGUACCCAGUGCACAAGGCUCCCGCUUUACGCAGGGUCUGGGAGAGGUGAAUGUCGGCUAGCCUUACCCCCAUUUAUGGAGAGGCUGCUCCCAAGUCUCGAACCCGAGACCUACCGCUCAUGGGCGAAAGCACUUGCCAUCGCACCAAGUGCGACCUCUACCUUUAACCAUAAAUAAUAGAACAAUUUUCUUGUCUAAUUUUGCUGUUCCCUUCCACUUCAAGUGACUUUUCUAAUGAUGCAAUUUGAUGUUAUGAUCAGGUUAUGGCUCGUUCUUCACCAAUGGAUAAGCAUACCCUUGUAAGACACUUAAGGACCACUUUUCAAGAAGUUGUUGCUGUGACUGGUGAUGGUACAAACGAUGCUCCAGCACUUCAUGAAGCUGAUAUAGGACUUGCAAUGGGCACUGCUGGUACUGAGGUAUUUACAAAGAUGUUGCUUCUUUUUGUGUCUUAAUAAAAGCCUCCUCUCGCUCUCUCAAAUCGUAGAGUCGCACAUGUCGACAGUUGAUUUUCCUGUUUUAUAAAUAUAAUAUGCUAAAAGAAGCAACGUUUUUACUUCUUAGGUAGUUGUUUCUAGAGAAAAGUUCAAUCACCAUUUUCUCUCUCAUGUCAUGCCUGUAAACCUAUUUUGUUGCAUUACAAACAUUCAGUUCCGGUAGAAUUUGAUUGGAAACUACAGUUGUACAAUUAGAGUUGCAUGAUCUUAUUACUAAAUUGAGAUAUCAGAAGAAUGCACAAGGGUUGCAAAGUGGUGGUGGUAAGACUAAAUUUUAUGAGGUUACAUAUGGAUAAUACAAGAAAUAAGUGAAUGCUUUGCCCAAGGACGUCUCAUUUACUCUCUUCUUCUUGUUCGUGAAUCCCCUGAUCCUUUAUUUUUAGGUGAGCUUGAUCGUUUUUGAUAUUAAGGUAAUUAAGAAUGUGCUAAUUAUAUCAGGUGGCAAAGAAAAGUGCUGACGUGAUAAUUCUGGAUGAUAACUUUUCUACAAUUGUGACUGUGGCCAAAUGGGGACGUUCAGUGUACUUAAACAUCCAGAAAUUUGUUCAGUUCCAGUUAACGGUUAAUGUGGUUGCGCUUAUUGUCAGCUUCUCUUCCGCCUGUUUAACUGGUAAGCAGACUGCGAUGCAUUUUCUCUCUUGUUUAAGUUUCUUGUUUUUGUUUCUCAUGAAAAUAUUUUAUUGGCUAACUUUUUGUUUUGGGUUGAUAACGCUCCUAGGAAAUACUCCCCUUACUGCUGUUCAGCUUCUCUGGGUCAACAUGAUCAUGGACACUCUAGGAGCCCUUGCAUUCGCCACCGAGCCACCUAAUGACGAUUUAAUGAAGAGAGCACCGGUUGGCAGGAAAGGAAACUUCAUCACUAAUGUGAUGUGGAGAAAUAUCCUAGGGCAGUCUCUGUAUCAGUUUGUGAUAAUAUGGUUUCUACAGACCAGAGGAAAAGAAGCUUUUCAGCUCAUUGGCCCAGACUCGGAUUUGAUCUUGACCACCCUUAUCUUCAACUCAUUUGUGUUUUGUCAGGUAAUUAUGAAUCAUCGAGGGAUGUGAUUUAAUCGUAUUGCGUUUGUUAAUGAAUGGAGUAUUGGAAAAAGUAAAAUUCAAAUUCAGGAAAUGACUACUCAUCCAGAUACAUUCAUUUGAAUGCUACCGUCUUCUUUCAGGUUUUCAAUGAGAUCAGCUCGAGGGAAAUGGAGAAGGUUAACGUCUUCAAGGGCAUAAUGCAGAACUAUGUUUUCGUGACUGUCCUCUCUGCCACUGUUAUCUUUCAGAUCAUAAUCAUCGAGUUCUUGGGUACAUUUGCGAACACACAUCCUCUAAGUUGGAAACAAUGGUUUGCCAGCGUUGCACUUGGGUUCCUUGGCAUGCCGGUUUCAGCAGUUCUGAAAUUCAUCCCUGUGUAACAAGUAGACUGAAAUCAACCGGAACUUGAACAGGUACUUCUCCACUUGCCUACCGAUGGAUGUUUUGUUAUGGCAUCAUUUCCAAGAUCAUUCUUUUGAUCCUUCUCUUGUAAUUGCUCGUUUUAUUGUCGAUAAUUAAACCACUGAUUGAUGCAUGCUGCAUAAGAGACUGCUUGUACUAUAGUUGGCCAUGGCAAUUUCCAGGCAUAUACCGGAAAUUUUGCCGUAAAAUUUACCAUGGCAUGCUGACUUCAUCUCUUUCGUCGAGAAAACAAACUACAUGAUAUGCCAUGCAAUCUUCUCGUAUCUUCGCUUUCACCCGAACAUCAGUCAAAGUUAUGAAUGGAGAUGUCACGUGAUGAGGGAGAUACUAACGUAAGAAUUUACGUCAAUUACACUCUUUAAGCCAAUUUCAGUUUUACCUAAUUUGGUCACAUGUGAUAUUUACUAUUACCGACCGAAGUAAUUCCACUCCGCUAUCGAAAUUUCUUUAGCAGAACAGAAUCACACUUCUCUGAUGUAAUGCAACUCAAAGAAUUCUCUACAACAUCCAUCCACGGGGCUCGAAUCAAACGGAAUCAGCGAUCAAUUGGUUUUUACGGACUUCUCUGCAGGAACUGAAGAACUAACUGCAACAUUUACCAGGAUCGAUCGGUCCUUCAAACUCUUUAGCUCCUUCUCCUGCAUCCGAUUGUAGCAUAAAAACACAGCUUCCUGCAACACAAAGGCCAAUGAGUCCAAGAUUAAUCAAAAUCCAGUCUUUAAUCUACUUGAUUAAUCAACUAAUGAGAUCAAUUAAGAAAACUCACAAUUUCCAGAAAAUUCAAGUCAGGAACCGAUUUUAUCAUGACUUCGACUGCCUCCUUUGUUAACUUCUGAUCCACUGCCAUUAAGGUGGCGGCUGUUGCUACGGCGGACGGUCGAUGAUGCAUUAAGUUAAUCUCUGUAAAACAUUAAGAUUAGAGUUAAUUAAUAAAUUAUAAUUAACCAUCUAAAUCAACCAACAACAAAAAAAAAGAAAAAAUAUUAAGUGAUUGAUCAAACAUAAAACAUUGUUCGUGAAAAUUAACAGAAAUACCUGUCAUUCCAGAAAGGAGGUGUCCUUCAAUCCGAGAUUUCACAUCUGAUGCAGGUCCCUGGCAUAACUUGGAGAUCAAGUAACCGAGAAACGCAAAGGGUGUGAUCAAACUCAGCCUCCAAUCUAAGUGUUCGAGAAACGCCAACUCCGUCGUCCCGACGAAAUGACAUGGAAAUGAGUAAUCUCCGACCGCGUAUUGUGACAGUGGUGGAAGUUUCACGUCCAACUCCUCCAUCUUUGCCUCCAACGACAGGCACACCACCGAAAGCAACCUCUUUGCAGAUUUUGGCUCUUCUUUCUGCAGAAAAGAAGAAGAAAAAACCAUAAAAAUAUAAUCUUUAAAACCUACAGGGUCGGAACUCAGCGAAUAGAAUCGAUCGAAAUAUGUAAUGGCCAGAUAUGCUGUCAAGGGCUGAAACCCAAGUUCUGCACUUCUCUGAAUUUCAAGAACACCCGAUUAAGUUCCCAAUUGAAACUUCACAAAUGUUGGUUCAAAUGAUCGAAAUUUCGAAAACAAGAAAUGGGGUUUUGGAGUUCGGAGACUGACCUUGAGAACCCAACGAGCUUCCAAAACCCAGCUGGGAAUGAUCACAUUUUCAUCUUUCUUGAAGUCGAAUUUGAUCUCUCUGUUGAUUAAGUUCUUCAGUUGCUCUUGUUCCAGUGCACUAUCGGAGCAGUAGUUCGUGCUGAUCAAUGCGUUUUCAUCUGCCAUCUCUCCGUCCAAAAAUGUCAGACUUUCGUGGCAAGAAACGUCGGGCGAGAAAGGAUCGUAGUUAUCACAACCGUCGACCUCCGUUGUUUCUUUCUUGGCAAGAAAGGUCCAGAAAAUGUUGUAGAAAAAAAGGAAUCAAAUAGUAUGAACUCAGUGAGCCAACCUAGUACUGAAGCCAAAGAUUUGAGAGAGAAAAUGGUUGACCAGCAAAGACUGAAUACGACUGUAUAUAUUUAUAGUGAAAGUGGAUGCAGAGAUGUGACACCGUUUUAACAGAAUUUUCACCAUUCCUACACCAUUUCAAUUCUCAUAUUUUCUUUCCUCUUUAAAAAAUCUAUCCUUCAAUUUUUUCAAUAAUUUUCAAAUGGCCUUGUCUGCAAUAAAAUGUAGGGCUUGAACCUGAAAAGAAGAUGAAGCUCUUUGCAAGGCUUAUAGAUGAAUGUUGGAAGAUAGUGGGAGGGGGAAUUGUCAAACAAAUGACGGUGUUUGGACUCGUGUGUCCAAAAAGUACUUGGAGUUCUAUGAAGGCACCACUCCAGUAAAUAUUCGAAACCACGAGAGUUGUUCUUCAAGAUGGAAUAAACAUCUUCAGCCAAGUUUGAACAAAUGGCAUCAAGUAUUGUUAGCAGCCGCCCGCAAGUAGACAUGAAAGCGGCGCUAAUUACUACGAUGAAGUAAGUGUUUUCACAAUUUAUUUUAAAUAUUUAAUUAUAUUACAUUUAAUUUCAUAAAUUAAUUUUCUUUAAUUUUUUUCUCGGUACACCAAACGAAGGAAUUAUAUAUGGAGAGUAGCUCGAAACCCUUUCAAAUUCACAGUUGUUAGGAAAUUUGUAAAGGGUGGGUGUUAUUUGAAGAUCCACCACAUAGAGCUUCUACGCCGAUGUUCGGAAUAGCAUCCUCAGCUGCAUAUAUGGAUCAAGAUGGAUCUCUAACCAUUCAACAAACAAGGGUAGAAAAUCCGUCUUUGGAUGAAGGUUACAUACCUAGGGCUAUGAGACGAAACAAGGCGUGAAGGUUGAAGGAAAAGGGCAAGGCAAAUGAUGAUUAUGCCGCUCAACAUGAAGUGGCGGCCUCAUUGCGAUUAAUGGCAAAGCAAAAUGCCCUUGAGGCGGAAGAAAGGAAAAGUAGGCAUGAAGAACCGGGUCAAACAAGUACAAGAAGAGAUAGAUGAUAAGAAUAUGGAAAGGAACAUUUCGAAUUACACUCCAAUGAGUAAGGCCUAUUUUGAUAGGAAAAAAAAUGAAAUUAUGACCCGGCGGCAGUUGUUUACCUCUGACUAUACUCCUACAAUGGCGGAUGAUGAAGAUGAUGUUGAUUAUGGAUAUUAAAUUUACGUUGUUGUAGUUUUUAAAUUCAAGUUAAUGUUGUUUUUAAAUUUAAUUUGUAGUUUUUAAAUUUAAGUUGUAGUUUUUAAAUAUAAGUUGUAGUUUUUAAAUUUAAGUUGUUGGAUUUGAAUUUAAGUUGUUGUAGUUUUUAAAUUUAAAUAAUAAAUUAUGUUUGUCCCUUUGGCCCUUGGUUGGAAAUGAAGACAAAUAUGGUCUUAUACUGUUCAUUAAAAUAUUAAUAUCUUGGAGGGCCAGAUGGUUAAAACGAGCCAUCUGGCUAGCCCUCGGUUGGAGAUGGCCUAAGACAAGUUAAGUAUCUUUGGAAAUAGCAAAAACCUCAUUUGACAUGGCGUCAAUUUUGACAUCAUCUUGUUCAUGUUAGUUUAGUAUUCUUUUUCAUAUCAGCUUUGACAUUUCGAUUUUGAAGAUGGUUUAAUGAUAUAAAACUUAAAUAAUCUACUAACGGUAUCAAUUUGACGAUUAUUUAAUUUACACAAUAAAAAUACGUUGUAUAUUAAAUUUUUGGAAUUUCCCAAAUUGAUCGCUCUCUCCGUUUCCUAAACGCGGUGACUCUGACACCACGCGGCAAAGACAUUUUAAUUUAAUAUUUUUACCCACUGUUAGGAGCAAUGAAGGUUCACAAUCUUAUCAAAGAUGUAAAGCACCAGAUUAGUACCUCAGUCCAGACGUUAGUUAAGAAAUUGUUGAGUCAGCAUAAUCAGUUAACUUCAGUUAAAUACUCAAUGCACACCGUAUCUCAAUGUACGAAAAUAUAAUUACGCAAUUCUCUCUCUCCAUUUUCCUCUCUCUCUCUCUCCAAAACUCUAAUUCCUUACUCACAGAGAUUCUACUUUCUACAUGGGAUCAUCGCCGGAGUCCACUGACGCUGAUCUCCCGCUUCUGCAUUCUUGAUUUUCUUGCACUUUCUCUCUUGCCAAGCAGGUCUUGUCCUACUUUUCUCUUCAAUUCUCUGUGAGAUUCCGCUAUGGCUGCAGCGAGAACUUUUAUGUGAAGGCGAAGAACUCGUCUCUGUGUAUAAGGCUAGGGUUUCUGGUUUGCUGUGAAGCUGAGAAGCUGAGAUGGAGAGCUAUUUGAACGAGAACUUUUAUGUGAAGGCGAAGAACUCGUCGGAGGAGGCGUUUCAGAUAUGGAGGAAGCCGUGUGGACUUGUCAAGAAUCGGAAACGGAGGUUCAGAUUCACUGCUAACCUCCCCAAGCGUUUUGAAGCUGAGGCCAUUCGACGAACCAAUCAGGUAUAAAUCGGUUACUCUUUUGGUUUCUCUCUCUUUUUUUGUUCUGUUUGGCUCCUGAGAAAAUUUUUGGAAUUAUUUAGUUCUUUUUGUUGAUAAGUUGAGUGUGACCCCAAUGCUACAAUUAAUCUGGAUUUCUAAUUGAUUAAUGUUCUUUUUCUGCGUGCUGAUAGAUUUACAUUUCAGUUGGAUUUCUAAUUGAUUAGUGUUCGUUAAUCUGGAUUUCUAAUUGAUUAGUGUUCGUUAAUCUGGAUUUCUAAUUUAUUAGCGUUCGUUUUCUAACAAAAUCAAAGAUUUGUAUAUAGAAAGUUGGGAAGAUCAUCUCUCAAUCGAAAUUCGAUGAUAGCCUAGCUAAGAAGGGAAAAAGUAGACUCGCUGUUGUUCGUAAUUUGGGGUUGUGUGUUUCUGUUGCAUGCUGAAUUAUCAGUGCUGUUCCCAGAUCCAUUUCAUCUUGCUGAAUGUCAAAACGAAAACCUUGACCAAGUACAUAUUGUACUAGAUUUGGUUGAUGGUAUAUCAACUGUUAUAUUCUGAUAAUCUGUAAGAGGACUUAAAAAUUGAUGCAUUGCACGGUAAAAAUUUUAAGCAAACUCACAGCUUUAAAUGACCUUAUGCUACAUAAAUGAGGAUAAGUUCAAUUCUGCAGUGAACCAUAGUUUCUGUUUGAUAGACUAUGAAAUUAAGGUAUACCGUCUACCAUAAAAAGAAAUUGAGCAGAUAUAUUUAUACUUAAUAGGGGUAGUAACUGGUAAAAAAUAUAUUCAUGUGCAUACUUCAUGUAGAAAAUAUAUCUUUUGCUGUCUUAUAAAAGAAAACUUUAUUUCUUAGUGUGUUGUCCUUUGUUCUUCGGUUGAAAUAACAGGGUAAGUUUAGAGUUGCAGAUUUGGUUUCACAAACGCUUCAGUUUAUCCAAGGUUAGAAUCUUAACCUACUCAGUUCCAUGUUGUUUAUACAGACGAUAUUUAUUAUAUUUUACAAACAAUGGUUCUAUUUGUUUUAUAUGUUUAUUUGGUUUUCAAUCUUCAGCGUGUGCAGGCUUAAGUGUGCACAGUGAUUAUACAGUACCUGAGGAAGUCAAAGCUGCGGGUUUUCAAAUUUGUGCUGAUGAGGUGCAAUGGAUUGUUGAAGGCCGUGAUGUGCAAUACUUGAAAAGUCAUGGUGGUGUGGAGACUAUCAUAGACAAGCUUGGAACAUCCAGUAUCAAUGGAAUUUCUACUUCUGAGAAAUUGCUUAAUAAGAGAAAAGAAAUAUAUGGGGUUAAUAAAUUCGUUGAAAAACCAUGCAGUGGAUUUCUUGUUUAUGUGUGGGAAGCCCUUCAGGACACUACCCUCAUGAUACUUGCAUUUUGUGCCUUUGUAUCUCUGCUGGUUGGGAUAAUGACAGAAGGUUGGCCAAAGGGUGCC